AUGGAAGAGACCUCUGUCUCCUGCUGCAAAGCCCAAGUGGAUCAGAGCCCCCAGUCGCUUGUUACUGGGGAAGGGAAGGUCUCUACCACGUCCUGCGCUUUCACCGGCAAGUACCAAACCUUCCACUGGUACCAGCAGUUCCCUGGGCGAGGCCUGACCUACCUGCUGUCCGUCAGCCCUCAGGAGAAUGCUACCGAGCAGCGCUUCGUGGGACAGCCCCUGGAAGAUGGGAAACGCAGCUUUCUGUACAUCACCGACUCCCAGCUGGAGGACUCAGGCAGCUACCUCUGUGCGACCUUCCACGGAUUGACUCUGCCUCGGAAUAUUCCUCUGCCAGGGAGAGAAGAAACGGAGCUCGCCAUGGGCUCGGAGAGAGGAGCUGCUCUGUGGAGCCUUCUCCUCAGCUUUGCGUUUCUCUUCUCCUGCUGCGAAGCCCAAGUGGUUCAGAGUCCUGAGUUGCUGGUUACUGGGGAAGGGAAGGUCUCCACCAUGUCCUGCUCCUUCACCAGCGCUUACCAAACCUUCCAGUGGUACCAGCAGCUGCCUGGGCAAGGGCCGACCUAUCUGCUGACUGUGAGCUCUAAUGAGAAUGCCACUGUGGGGCGGUUCAUAGGCGAGCGCUUGGAAAGUGGGAAACGCAGCUCCCUGCACAUCACCGACUCCCAGCUGCGGGACUCAGGCAGCUACCUCUGUGCGGUGGAUACACAGUGA